UACGUAGGGCGCAAGCGUUGUCCGGAAUUAUUGGGCGUAAAGAGCUCGUAGGCGGUUUGUCGCGUCUGCUGUGAAAACCUAAGGCUCAACCUUGGGCUUGCAGUGGGUACGGGCAGACUAGAGUGCGGUAGGGGUGACUGGAAUUCCUGGUGUAGCGGUGGAAUGCGCAGAUAUCAGGAGGAACACCGGUGGCGAAGGCGGGUCUCUGGGCAGGUAACUGACGCUGGAGGAGCGAAAGCGUGGGGAGCGAACAGG
rnacentral:rRNA from 1 species